UACGUAGGGUGCAAGCGUUGUCCGGAAUUAUUGGGCGUAAAGAGCUCGUAGGCGGUUUGUCGCGUCUGCUGUGAAAACUCGGGGCUUAACUCCGGGCCUGCAGUGGGUACGGGCAGACUAGAGUGCGGUAGGGGAGACUGGAAUUCCUGGUGUAGCGGUGAAAUGCGCAGAUAGUCAGGAGGAACACCGGUGGCGAAGGCGGGUCUCUGGGCCGUAACUGACGCUGAGGAGCGAAAGCGUGGGGAGCGAACAGG
rnacentral:rRNA from 1 species